rnacentral:pre_miRNA from 1 species
UCUUAUGAAUGAACAAAAAACAUGGUUUCUUGAAAUGGAAUCUGCUCCUGGUGAAGAUGCUAUGAA